rnacentral:rRNA from 1 species
CAAACUGGGAUUAGAUACCCCACUAUGCUUAGCCUUAAACCCAGAUGUAUCCUUACACACACAUCCGCCCGGGUACUACGAGCAUAGCUUAAAACCCAAAGGACUUGGCGGUGUCUCAGACCCACCUAGAGGAGCCUGUUCUAUAACCGAUAACCCCCGUUAAACCUCACCACUUCUUGUUAAUACCGCCUAUAUACCGCCGUCGUCAGCUUACCCUGUGAAGGUCUAACAGUAAGCAAAAUGGGCCCGCCCAAAAACGUCAGGUCGAGGUGUAGCGUACGAAGUGGGAAGAAAUGGGCUACAUUUUCUACAACUAGAAUACUAAACGAACGGCAUUAUGAAAAUUAUUGCCUGAAGGUGGAUUUAGUAGUAAAAAGCAAACAGAGUGUCCUUUUGAAUUAGGCUCUGAGACGCGCACACACCGCCCGUCAC